rfam:Triticum aestivum genome assembly, contig: Triticum_aestivum_CS42_TGACv1_scaffold_640868_T_5BL-0.189423_5BS-0.187726
CAAAUACUCCCUCCGUCCGAAAAUACUUGUCAUCAAAAUUGAUAAAAAAAGAUGCAUCUAGACGUAUUUUAGUUCUAGAUACAUCUCUUUUUAUCCAUUUUGAUGAUAAAUAUUUUCGGACGGAGGGAGUAAAUG